rnacentral:rRNA from 1 species
GAUGAACGCUAGCGACAGGCCUAACACAUGCAAGUCGAGGGGCAGCAUGAAAUUAGCUUGCUAAUUUUGAUGGCGACCGGCGCACGGGUGAGUAACACGUAUGCAACCUGCCUGUAAGCGGGGGAUAACCCGGAGAAAUUCGGACUAAUACCGCAUAAUAUCAUUAAUUCGCAUGUUUUAAUGAUUAAAAAUUAUUGCUUACAGAUGGGCAUGCGUAUGAUUAGCUAGUUGGCGGGGUAACGGCCCACCAAGGCGACGAUCAUUAGGGGUUCUGAGAGGAAGGUCCCCCACACUGGAACUGAGACACGGUCCAGACUCCUACGGGAGGCAGCAGUGAGGAAUAUUGGUCAAUGGUCGGAAGACUGAACCAGCCAAGUAGCGUGAAGGAUGAAGGUUCUAUGGAUUGUAAAACUUCUUUUAUACGGGAAUAAAACCACUACGUGUAGGUGCUUGUAUGUACCGUAUGAAUAAGCAUCGGCUAACUCCGUGCCAGCAGCC